UUCAACAACCCCACGCUACUAACGUGGAGCGUGGGGAUUGCCAGAGACAGGACUGGCAACGUUAAGAGUUGAAUAGACCACCAAGCCGUUAACUGAUACACACUUCCAAAUACUUCCCCAGUUUGGAUUCACUGUAAGUCUACUUGUUUAGACGCUCUAAGAGAGGACAUUUUGUUAACGGUGGUCGAGGGGACAGACAACUUUACACGAAAG
rnacentral:sRNA from 1 species